UCUUUCACGUAGUUGGCUUUUCUUGCCAUGGGCUGUGAAAUAUGUGACAAAAAAUAUCACAUUUUUAAAGUGGCAGUGUAACAAUUUCUGUUGAUCCUUAUGUUGUGGUUAGAUGCCAAUAGCUCCACGAAGCCUACAGUUUAAAAUAGCAAUUAUUUUAAAGUAUGUCUCUUUUGUACACCACUAGGAAAUUGGAUUGUGUUUUCUGAGCCUCCCCGGAGCAUUAGCCAAAGCAUAGCUAAAGCUUUUCCAGUAUUAUAAAUCAUCUUUGUAGGCUCACAGAUAUUUUAUAAUAAAGGUUGGGAUUUGCCUAAUCUUUUUAAUGUGAAAUUCAUGUUUCUUUUUCUCCAUUAAUCGCUAUCCCAUUUCUGUGACUCCACUCACACAUUAAAUUUAUCUAGGCUAUCAGCCAAAGUGAAGUGCUUGUUUACCUUCUUCCUAAAGCCAGUCUCUUCAUCCAAAUUACCCACGGUAGAUUAGAACUCUAUUUUGACCUUGCUACAAGAAAAGAAGUAACUCAGUUAUUGUGGAUCAUGGGUAGGUGAUAGGCUUAUAAAUUAUCCACUUGUUUUGUUGGUAUUAACUUUUAAAAGGAAGCUUUUCUUUUAAGAAACAUAUAUUAAGAGUUGUGAGAAAAAUAAGCGCACUGGCUCAGGCCUGUAAUACCAGCACUUUGGGAGGCUGAGGCGGGCAGAUCACCUGAGGUCAGGAGUUUAAGACCAGCCUGGCUAAUAUGGUGAAACCCCGUCUCUACUAAAAAUACAAAGUUAGCCGGGCAUAGUGGCACACACUUGUAAUCCCAGCUACUCAGGAGGCUGAGGCAGGAGCAUCACUUGAACCCGGGAGGCGGAGGUUGCAGUGUACCAUUGUACUCCAGCCUGGGCAAAAAAAGCACAGCUCCUCCAUCUCAAAAAAAAA
rnacentral:lncRNA from 1 species